rnacentral:rRNA from 1 species
CCUGAUGCAGCCAUGCCGCGUGUAUGAAGAAGGCCUUCGGGUUGUAAAGUACUUUCAGUCGUGAGGAAGGGUGAGCAGUUAAUAGCUGUUUAUCUUGACGUUAGCGACAGAAGAAGCACCGGCUAACUCCGUGCCAGCAGCCGCGGUAAUUA